rnacentral:rRNA from 1 species
UACGUAGGGGGCAAGCGUUGUCCGGAAUCAUUGGGCGUAAAGAGCGUGUAGGCGGUCCGGUAAGUCUGAUGUGAAAGCCCUGGGCUCAACCUGGGAAUGGCAUUGGAAACUGGCGACCUAGAGUGCGGUAGAGGGUAGUGGAAUUCCCGGUGUAGCAGUGAAAUGCGUAGAGAUCGGGAGGAACAUCCGUGGCGAAGGCGACUACCUGGACCAGCACUGACACUGAGGCACGAAAGCGUGGGGAGCAAACAGG